ACAGAAACACACACCAGCGAACGAGUUUGUCAAGCCACGGAAUCUGCUUUUCUCUUCUUCUCUUGAU
rnacentral:ribozyme from 1 species